rnacentral:rRNA from 1 species
GAGUUUGAUCCUGGCUCAGGACGAACGCUGGCGGUGCGCCUUAUGCAUGCAAGUUGAGCGAAGCUUUUUGGUAGUUUACUACUAGAAAUGACUGAGCGGCGAACGGGUGAGUAACGCGUGAGCAAUCUACCUUAGUUACUGGGAUAGCCCGAGGAAACUCGGAUUAAUACCGGAUAUUCUUAUUUUUUCACAUGAAGUUUUAAGGAAAGGUCAGCCGAACUAAGAUGAGCUCGCGUUCUAUCAGCUAGUUGGUGGGGUAAAAGCCUACCAAGGCUACGACGGAUAGCUGGUCUGAGAGGACGAUCAGCCACACUGGGACUGAGACACGGCCCAGACUCCUACGGGAGGCUGCAGCAGGGAAUAUUGUGCAAUGAGCGAAAGCUUGACACAGCGACACCGCGUGUGGGAUGACGGUUCUAGGAUUGUAAACCACUUUCAGGAGGGAAGAAAAUGACGGUACCUCCACAAGAAGACCCGGCCAACUAUGUGCCAGCAGCCGCGGUAAUACAUAGGGGUCAAGCGUUGUCCGGAUUUAUUGGGCGUAAAGAGCUCGUAGGCGGUUCAACAAGUCGGUCGUAAAAGUUUAGGGCUCAACCCUAAAAUGUCGAUCGAUACUGUUGUGACUAGGAUACGGUAGAGGUGAAUGGAAUUCCGAGUGUAGCGGUGAAAUGCGUAGAUAUUCGGAGGAACACCAAUUGCGAAGGCAGUUCACUGGACCGUGAUCGACGCUGAGGAGCGAAAGCUAGGGGAGCAAACAGGAUUAGAUACCCUGGUAGUCCUAGCUGUAAACGAUGGAUACUAGAUGUAGGAACUGGAUUGACGGUUUCUGUAUCGUAGCUAACGCGUUAAGUAUCCCGCCUGGGG